AUCCAGCUGACUAGUCCGGAAAUUGGAUGAAACGUGCGUCCUGGAU
rnacentral:hammerhead_ribozyme from 1 species